CAGGACUUGUAAGACUCCCGUAAACCAUUGUGAAUCUACCUUCUAACCGUUGCUUCAGCGGGGCUCGGGCGCGCUAGGCGCCCUCCCCGGGCGCUCCAGCCGCGGCGCCGCCGAGAUACCCUAACUCUGUACAUGUAAGUGGCCUCUCUGAGUAGUCUUACUAAUAGAGUCA
rnacentral:misc_RNA from 1 species